rnacentral:rRNA from 1 species
UCAAGCGAACAAGUGCAUGUGGUGGAUGCCUUGGCGAUUACAGGCGAUGAAGGACGCGGUAGCCUGCGAAAAGCUUCGGGGAGCUGGCAAACGAGCUUUGAUCCGGAGAUGUCCGAAUGGGGAAACCCGGCCCGAAUGGGUCAUCCCUGACUGAAUACAUAGGUCAGGGAAGCGAACGCGGCGAACUGAAACAUCUAAGUAGCUGCAGGAACAGAAAUCAACCGAGAUUCCCAAAGUAGUGGCGAACGAAAUGGGAAGAGCCUUGUACUCUUUAGCAGCAUUGUUAGCAGAACGGGAUGGAAAGCCCGGCCAUAGCAGGUGAUAGCCCUGUAUGCGAAAACAGCGUUGUGGAACUAGGUGUACGACAAGUAGGGCGGGACACGUGAAAUCCUGUCUGAAGAUGGGGGGACCAUCCUCCAAGGCUAAAUACUCGUAAUCGACCGAUAGUGAACCAGUACCGUGAGGGAAAGGCGAAAAGAACCCCGGGAGGGGAGUGAAAUAGAUCCUGAAACCGCAUGCAUACAAACAGUCGGAGCCUGGAAACGGGUGACGGCGUACCUUUUGUAUAAUGGGUCAGCGACUUACAUUCAGUGGCAAGCUUAACCGAUUAGGGAAGGCGUAGCGAAAGCGAGUCCGAAUAGGGCGUUGAGUCGCUGGGUGUAGACCCGAAACCAGAUGAUCUAUCCAUGGCCAGGUUGAAGGUGCGGUAACACGUACUGGAGGACCGAACCCACUAACGUUGAAAAGUUAGGGGAUGAGCUGUGGAUAGGGGUGAAAGGCUAAACAAAUCUGGAAAUAGCUGGUUCUCUCCGAAAACUAUUUAGGUAGUGCCUCGUGUCUCACCUUCGGGGGUAGAGCACUGUCAUGGUUGGGGGGUCUAUUGCUGAUUACCCCGCCAUAGCAAACUCCGAAUACCGAAGAGUGCAAUCACGGGAGACAGACAUCGGGUGCUAACGUCCGGUGUCAAGAGGGAAACAACCCAGACCGCCAGCUAAGGUCCCAAAGAUUGGCUAAGUGGGAAACGAAGUGGGAAGGCUAAAACAGUCAGGAGGUUGGCUUAGAAGCAGCCACCCUUUAAAGAAAGCGUAAUAGCUCACUGAUCGAGUCGUCCUGCGCGGAAGAUGUAACGGGGCUAAGCCAGUCACCGAAGCUGCGGACGCACGCAAGUGCGUGGUAGGAGAGCGUUCUGUAAGCCUGUGAAGGUGUCUUGUAAAGGAUGCUGGAGGUAUCAGAAGUGCGAAUGCUGACAUGAGUAGCGAUAAAGGGGGUGAAAGGCCCCCUCGCCGUAAGCCCAAGGUUUCCUACGCAACGUUCAUCGGCGUAGGGUGAGUCGGCCCCUAAGGCGAGGCAGAGAUGCGUAGCUGAUGGGAAGCAGGUUAAUAUUCCUGCACCGUCGUAUGAUGCGAUGGGGGGACGGAUCGCGGAAGGUUGUCCGGGUGUUGGAAGUCCCGGUCCCUGCAUUGGAGAAGGCGCUUAGGCAAAUCCGGGCGCGGAAUUCAAGGAUGUGGGGCGAGCGGCCUAGUGCUGCGAAGCAAUUGGAAGUGGUUCCAAGAAAAGCCUCUAAGCUUCAGUCAUACGAGACCGUACCGCAAACCGACACAGGUGGGCGAGAUGAGUAUUCUAAGGCGCUUGAGAGAACUCGGGAGAAGGAACUCGGCAAAUUGGUACCGUAACUUCGGGAUAAGGUACGCCCUUGUAGCUUGACUGGCCUGCGCCAGGAGGGUGAAGGGGUUGCAAUAAAAUGGUGGCUGCGACUGUUUAAUAAAAACACAGCACUCUGCAAACACGAAAGUGGACGUAUAGGGUGUGACGCCUGCCCGGUGCCGGAAGAUUAAAUGAUGGGGUGCAAGCUCUUGAUUGAAGUCCCGGUAAACGGCGGCCGUAACUAUAACGGUCCUAAGGUAGCGAAAUUCCUUGUCGGGUAAGUUCCGACCUGCACGAAUGGCGUAACGAUGGCCACACUGUCUCCUCCCGAGACUCAGCGAAGUUGAAGUGUUUGUGAUGAUGCAAUCUCCCCGCGGCUAGACGGAAAGACCCCAUGAACCUUUACUGUAGCUUUGCAUUGGACUUUGAACCGAUCUGUGUAGGAUAGGUGGGAGGCUUUGAAGCGUGGACGCUAGUUCACGUGGAGCCGUCCUUGAAAUACCACCCUGGUUUGUUUGAGGUUCUAACCUUGGCCCGUGAAUCCGGGUCGGGGACAGUGCAUGGUAGGCAGUUUGACUGGGGCGGUCUCCUCCCAAAGUGUAACGGAGGAGUUCGAAGGUACGCUUGGUACGGUCGGACAUCGUACCUAAAGUGCAAUGGCAAAAGCGUGCUUAACUGCGAGACUGACAAGUCGAGCAGGUGCGAAAGCAGGACAUAGUGAUCCGGUGGUUCUGAAUGGAAGGGCCAUCGCUCAACGGAUAAAAGGUACUCUGGGGAUAACAGGCUGAUACCGCCCAAGAGUUCAUAUCGACGGCGGUGUUUGGCACCUCGAUGUCGGCUCAUCUCAUCCUGGGGCUGUAGCCGGUCCCAAGGGUAUGGCUGUUCGCCAUUUAAAGAGGUACGUGAGCUGGGUUUAAAACGUCGUGAGACAGUUUGGUCCCUAUCUGCCGUGGGCGUUGGAAUCUUGACGGGGGCUGCUCCUAGUACGAGAGGACCGGAGUGGACGUACCGCUGGUGUACCUGUUGUCUCGCCAGAGGCAUCGCAGGGUAGCUAUGUACGGAAGAGAUAACCGCUGAAAGCAUCUAAGCGGGAAACUCGCCUGAAGAUGAGGAUUCCCUGGAGGCUUGACCUCCUUGAAGGGUCGUUCGAGACCAGGACGUUGAUAGGCUGGGUGUGGAAGCGCAGUAAUGCGUUAAGCUAACCAGUACUAAUUGCCCGUAAGGCUUGAUCC